GAUGAACGCUAGCGGCAGGCUUAACACAUGCAAGUCGAGGGGCAGCGCGGGGUAGCAAUACUCUGGCGGCGACCGGCGCAAGGGUGCGUAACGCGUGAGCAACUUGCCCGUUUCAGGGGGAUAACCGGUGGAAACGCCGACUAAUACCCCAUAGUAUCAGAUGAAGGCAUCUUUAUCUGAUUAAAGAAAUUCGGAAACGGAUAGGCUCGCGUGACAUUAGCUAGAUGGCGGGGUAACGGCCCACCAUGGCGACGAUGUCUAGGGGUUCUGAGAGGAAGGUCCCCCCACACUGGAACUGAGACACGGUCCAGACUCCUACGGGAGGCAGCAGUGAGGAAUAUUGGUCAAUGGCCGAGAGGCUGAACCAGCCAAGUAGCGUGAAGGAUGAAGGUUCUAUGGAUUGUAAACUUCUUUUAUACGGGAAUAACACCAUCUACGUGUAGAUGCCUGCAUGUACCGUAUGAAUAAGCAUCGGCUAACUCCGUGCCAGCA
rnacentral:rRNA from 1 species